rnacentral:rRNA from 1 species
UACGUAGGUCGCAAGCGUUGUCCGGAUUUACUGGGCGUAAAGGGCGCGUAGGCGGCCAGCACACGUCAGUUGUGAAAUCUCCGAGCUUAACUCGGAAAGGUCAACUGAUACUGUGCGGCUAGAGUGCAGAAGGGGCAACUGGAAUUCUUGGUGUAGCGGUGAAAUGCGUAGAUAUCAAGAGGAACACCUGCGGCGAAGGCGGGUUGCUGGGCUGACACUGACGCUGAGGCGCGAAAGCUAGGGGAGCGAACGGG